rnacentral:rRNA from 1 species
UACGGAGGGUGCGAGCGUUGUUCGGAAUCACUGGGCGUAAAGGGCGUGUAGGCGGUCCGCUAAGUCUGAUGUGAAAGCCCGGGGCUCACCCCCGGAAGUGCAUUGGAAACUGGCGGACUCGAGUCCCGGAGAGGAGAGUGGAAUUCCUGGUGUAGCGGUGAAAUGCGUAGAGAUGUGGAGGAAUACCGAUGGCGAAGGCAGCCCCCUGGGAUAACACUGACGCUCAUGCACGAAAGCGUGGGGAGCAAACAGG